CUUAUGUGUUUUACCUUAACAGGAAAAUAAACAAAUUAUGAUAAAGCUUCUGCUAGCUACGUGAAAAACUUAUUAUGGAUACCAAACCAAAGGAAUUAAAACCAGAUCAUGAACAUUCCAAUGAACUUUUCUCCAAAGCGAUAGCACCUUUCAAUAACAACGAUUUAACAAUUAAAACAAACCAAGGUACACUUCAAGCAAAUAAGGAGCACCUUAUGGCAGCAUCUCCGGUUUUUCAUAAAAUGUUAACAGCAAAUUUUAAAGAGAAGGGAGCUCGAGUUAUCAAUUUACCAGACAAGAGUCCUAUCACAUUUGCUCAUUUUUUGCGGCACACAUUGCCUGGAUUCGAUGGACUAGAGUUAACAGAAAACAUCGCUCAUCUCAUUCUACCAUUAGCGCACGAAUAUCAAUGUAAGGAUACUCUGUCAAAAGUUGACAUGAAACUGGCAGAUUACUGUGAAAAAAAUAACCUACAAUCUGUUCAGUUGAUUAGUGAUAUUUUGGAAGCAGAAUUUUACAAUCUGCCAAUCCUUUUGGAGGUUCCAAUAGAAAAGGCGUCCAGAGAGACAUUUAAAGGAUUUGUAGAUCAUGUACAGUUUCAGAAAAUAUCAACCAACACCAAGGAAAAAAUCUACCUGAAGAGAUGGGAAAAUCUUGACAAUUUCAUUAACGAAAAAAUAAUUAAACCGUACUUUAAUCCUAACAUCAAAGAUAUAAAAGAACAGAUCGCCAAGCAUAUGGAAUAAAUUCGAGAGGUUAAAAAUUUGCAACUUCGUGCUUAAUUGCUGCCUUUUGACUAAAAUUGUUAUUGACAAAUGUUCACAUCCUUCUCCAGUAACCAAAAAAAAUACUUUUCUAAUAUUAAAAAAAAAAACCACCAUCAACUAAUGUUGAAUUUACAUUAUUUUAAUUGAUAUUUGUAAGUAUGUUCAUUUGUUUUCUUCAGUUCGAGGUUUAAUAAAAUAUAUCUAAAUUAA